CAGCAGCCGCGGGAAUACGGAGGAUCCAAGCGUUAUCCGGAAUCAUUGGGUUUAAAGGGUCCGUAGGCGGUCUUGUAAGUCAGUGGUGAAAGCCCAUCGCUCAACGGUGGAACGGCCAUUGAUAUUGCAGGACUUGAAUUAUUGGGAAGUAACUAGAAUAUGUAGUGUAGCGGUGAAAUGCUUAGAGAUUACAUGGAAUACCAAUUGCGAAGGCAGGUUACUACCAAUUGAUUGACGCUGAUGGACGAAAGCGUGGGUAGCGAACAGGAUUAGAUACCCCUGUAGUCCCUGUCUCUUAUAC
rnacentral:rRNA from 1 species